UUCGCAAUGCCCGAAAGGGUGACGAAGCGACGCCGCGUGUGGGAAGAAGGCCUUCGGGUUGUAAACCACUGUCAGGAGUUAAGAAAUGCAAGGGUGUGAAUAACACCCUUGCUUGACUAAGGCUCCAGAGGAAGCCACGGCUAACUCUGUGCCAGCAGCCGCGGUAAUACAGAGGCGGCAAGCGUUGUUCGGAAUUAUUGGGCGUAAAGAGCACGUAGGCGGCUAUGUAAGUCGGUUGUGAAAGCCUUCCGCUCAACGGGAGAACAGCAUCCGAUACUGCAUAGCUUGAGUGCGGGAGGGGAGAGUGGAACUUCUGGUGGAGCGGUGAAAUGCGUAGAUAUCAGAAGGAACGCCGGCGGCGAAAGCGGCUCUCUGGCCCAUAACUGACGCUGAGUGUGCGAAAGCUAGGGGAGCAAACGGGAUUAGAUACCCCGGUAGUCCUAGCCGUAAACGAUGGGCACUAAGUAGAGGGGUUUU
rnacentral:rRNA from 1 species